CGACAACUAACGACCAAAUGGAAACUAGGCUUAAGUGUAAAUUACAGGCUAGGAGUGGGGUCUUUUGAAAAGUAAAGAAAUGCUAGUCAAGCAGUUCUCCAGUUCAGCUAUGCGUUACAGGCAAUAGGAAGGCUAUGGUCAGCAACGUUCACAUUAUUUUGAUUUAUUUCACAUUAAAUUUCAUUAAUGUUUUGAUGUAGUAGCUGU